GAUGAACGCUGGCGGCGUGCCUAAUACAUGCAAGUCGAACGAAACUUCUUUAUCACCGAGUGCUUGCACUCACCGAUACAGAGUUGAGUGGCGAACGGGUGCGUAACACGUGGGCAACCUGCCCAAAAGAGGGGGAUAACACUUGGAAACAGGUGCUACUACCGCAUAAUCAUGGUUACCGCAUGGUAACUAUGUAAAAGGUGGCUAUACUACCGCUUUUGGAUGGGCCCGCGGCGCAUUAGCUAGUUGGUAGGGUAAAGGCUUACCAAGGCAAUGACGCGUAGCCGAAGUGAGAGGUUGAUCGGCCACAUUGGGACUGGGACACGGCCCAAACUCCUGCGGGAGGCAGCAGUAGGGAAUCUGCCACAAUGGGCGAAAGCCUGAUGGAGCAACGCCGCGUGGGUGAAGAAGGUCUUCGGAUCGUAAAACCCUGUUGUUAGAGAAGAAAGUGCGUGAGAGUAACUGUUCACGUUUCGACGGUAUCUAACCAGAAAGCCACGGCUAACUACGUG
rnacentral:rRNA from 1 species